rnacentral:miRNA from 1 species
CCCGGGCAGAGACGCGGUGGUCAAAGGUCACAAUCAACAUUCAUUGCUGUCGGUGGGUUGAGCAGUGCGGACAAGCUCACUGGACAAUGAAUGCAACUGUGGCCCCGUU